CACUGGCGCGCGCCCCGUGUCCGCGCCGGAACCUCAAAGCAACAACCCAGCAGCCGAUCCCGGGCUCCCCCCUCCAGUCCUGCUGCUCUCCGAGGACCCACCAAGCCCUAAAAUUCACGUUUGGCCUCAACCGCAGUAUGGAUCUUGAUCCUUUCAAGCUGGAUAUUGACGAGCUGCUAGAUGAUUAUGCCAAGGAAAAUUUCAAGAGAGUGUGGAUGGCCAAAAAGUUCUCUUACAUCUAUGAGGGCAGACCCAAGAUCAACUCGGGUGUUUUCAUGCAGUCCCUCCUUUUGCAUUGAAUCGUUUGAAGUCUAAACGGUAUCUCCGAGGAGCUCACGAGAGUUCAUUGUGGGGAACUUGCGAGGAUUCUACGAAUCAAUAAUCUUGGACAUGGACUGGUUUGGCAGGUUUAGAGAGGUACAACUAUUUUUCUCGAGUUGCCCGCUUUUUGAGGGACGAAAACGAAGAAAAUUCGCUACGGAGGCUUUCUAGUUGGACCGGUAGACUUGUGACCGGGUCCGUUGCACAUUUUUUUGGGGGAUUCAAUAAGCUACGAAGAAACCAAACCGGUUUUCUAGCAAUCGGUUAACGACGGACCAAACAAGAAGACGGACGAAACCAAACGUACCAAAGUAUGGAAAUGCUUCCUACUUUAUUAUUAGGUAUAUAGAUAAAAUAGAUUUAAAAGGGACAAAAUUUUAGGAAGAAUCU